rnacentral:piRNA from 1 species
ACCAUCAAUUCUUGCUCUGGU